CCUACGGGAGGCAGCAGUGAGGAAUAUUGGUCAAUGGGCGGGAGCCUGAACCAGCCAAGCCGCGUGAGGGAAGAAGGUACAGCGUAUCGUAAACCUCUUUUGUCAGGGAACAAAGGCGGGGACUAGUCCCCGUAUGAGGGUACCUGAAGAAAAAGCAUCGGCUAACUCCGUGCCAGCAGCCGCGGUAAUACGGAGGAUGCGAGCGUUAUCCGGAUUUAUUGGGUUUAAAGGGUGCGCAGGCGGCCUGUUAAGUCAGCGGGAAAAGCCCGGGGCUAAACCCCGGCGAGCCGUUGAAACUGGCGGGCGGGAGUUGGAGAGAAGUACGCGGAAUGCGCGGUGUAGCGGUGAAAUGCUUAGAUAUCGCGCAGAACCCCGAUUGCGAAGGCAGCGUACCGGCUCCACACUGACGCUGAGGCACGAAAGCGUGGGUAUCGAACAGGAUUAGAUACCCGUGUAGUC
rnacentral:rRNA from 1 species